rnacentral:tRNA from 1 species
GCAUCCGUAGUUCAAUGGAUAGAAUGUGAGUUUCCGAAGCUCUUGAUGCAGGUUCAAUUCCUGUCGGAUGCGCCA